rnacentral:lncRNA from 1 species
UUAUAGCUUGUGUAGAGGGUUCAGUGUUUGGGACAGGUUUAGCUUUGUGUAGAGUGUUCAGUGUUUGGGACAGGUAUAGCUUGUUGUUGUCGCAGUGUUCAGUGUGUUGGGACAGGUAUAGCUGUGUAGAGUUUUCAGUUGUU